rnacentral:lncRNA from 1 species
AGAUAUGCAACAAAGGUAAAAAAGUCCCUUUUGCUGGGGAUUACUCACUUCUUCUAUCAUCAGAAAUUACACUUCGGAUGUUCUGUAAGCUAUAUGAGUAUGAAUACUAAAGUGCCACUUACUAUGUUAUUUCCUGAUCUCUUACUCGGAAUCUAUCACCUAAAUGUACUGCUGCUUAUGUGUAGAUCCCAGGAUUUGGUUCAGUCAACAAUCACCCUCUACAACCAUCUAGGUAAGAUACUGAUAAUGAUGCAGAGUUAACUUAAAUUGCUAGGUCUGUAUAUAUACACCAAUGAAAGAAAUUGUGAACUAUGUUACUAUGCAGGUUGUCAUCAGAAGCUGCAGAGCUACUUAAAGUUCACUACACUAUACACAGGUAAAUUAGGUGAAAAACAAACUAAUUGGUGUCAUUCAAUUUACAGUAACAGUUGGCCAUUUAAGCUACAGAGUUUAUUGAUUUCAAUGUCAUAUAGUUAUCUACCUCAUAUACAAAGAGCAGAAAUUUCCAGACUAAUAAUACUUUUAGUUGUCAGCUAUAUUGGCUACCCUUCAUGUCAAACACUAGUUCUCUAGUUAGACAUUAUCUUUUGCAAGAAACAUGGGACUUGAAGUUAACAAGUUCGAAAAAAACAAAAAUGUUCAGGGCUGUACAGCAAACGGGCUAAAAUUCUGACAGGAAACUUCAAAAAAAUCAUAACUAGCUAAUGGCCGGCACCACCACUGCCGGAGGGGCUGCACCCUGCCACGCGCCGCUCGAAGGGCUCGUCCCUGAGCCACUCGAAGGCCUACGCGCUGCCGGAGCCCCUGACCCGCACGCACUGCCGGAGGGGCUGCGCCAUGCUCAUGCGCCGCCGGAGGAGCUUGCCCCUAAGCCGCACGCACUGCCGGAGCCCCUGACCCGUGCUGCAGCCGGAGGGUCCACGCCCUACCAGAGCCUUGACCCGCACGCCUAGCCGGAGGAGCCACGCCCUACCUGCACGCCGCCGAAGGGGCUCGCCCCUGCAAGCUCAUGUUGUCUGAGAGAGAGGAGUCACCGUUCGUGAGAUUUGGAACCGAGAGAGGAAUGGCUGGGGGCGGCGCCGUCCGAGAGGUGGUGAAGGGAGUUGACAACUCACAACUAGGGUUUGCAAUCGGCGCUGGGAGGUGGGUGCGGCGCUGGGAGGGGGCCGCGCUGGGGAGGGCCGCCGGCGCGGGGCCGCGAGGCGACAUGGAGAUGGCCGAGGGGCGCGGCACGGCGGGCCAGCAGUGGGGCAGCUUGGGGAGCGGCGGCGGCGGCGCUAGAGGCAGCUUGGGGGACAUUGGGGACUUGGGGGCGCGGGCGGGAUAUUGGGCCGGCCACGAGCAGGGAUUUUAGGUGUUGGGCCUUUGCCGAGGGCUCAGAUUGAGGGCCCUCGGCAAAUUUUUUUUUAUCCAGUAUUUGAAUCUAAAAAUAUCUUUUAUAUAAAUAGCCUUUGAGGUCUCGAUCUGGCCUUCGGCAAAGACUCCCUUUGCCGAGAGCUAGAUUGGACCCUCGGCAAAGAUUAUUUUUAUUUUUUGUCUUUUAAACCUAACUUUUUUUGUGGUGCUAUAAUACAUUCUUAAGAAACUAAAUUUAAAAUUUAGUUCAAUUUUGACUUUUUUAUAUUUUUUAUUAAUUUAAUCUGUUUCUUUGAUUUUUUCUGAAUAUUUCAAAUUUGAACUGCAGGUGUAUGAAAUAAUGCAAUAUAGUGUUUCAAAAAAUGUUAUUUAUAGAAUUUGGUAUAUGUUGACUUCUUAUCCACGAACUUUCAUCAAAUUUCACGCAUCUACUUCACGUAAAAUGACGAGCCACAUGUCGAUAAAGUGUUUUAAAAUUAUAUAAAAUCCAUACGAAGUCUGAAAAUCAUGAAACUCGUCGAGGUAUCAUUUCAUCGCAUGUGUAGACUGUGGUAAAAGAAUUAGAAUGUUUCAAGCAAGUUACAAUGUCGAUGUCUAAAACCCAAACAUCUCCAUAUGUGAUCGUGUGUGAAUCACAUGUGGAGAUGUCUGGGUUUUAGACAUCUGACGUUAUAACUUGCUCGAAACCUUCUCAAUUUUUUACUAUAGUCUACACAUGCGAUGAAAUGACACCUCGACGAGUUUCGUGAUUUUCAGACUUCAUAUGGAUUUUAUAUAAUUUUAGAAUACUUUACCGACAUGUGGCUCGUCAUGUUACGUGAAGUAGAUGCGUGAAAUUUGAUGUGAGUUCCUAGAUAGGGACUCAACAUACACCAAAUACCAUGAAUAACAUUUUUCAAAACACUACACUGCAUUAUUUCAUGCAUCUGCAGUUCAAAUUUGAAAUAUUUAGAAAAAAUCAAAGAAACAAAUUAAUUCAAGAAAUAUAUAUAAAAAAGCGAAAUUUGUGCCAAUUUUUAAAAUUGUGUUUAAAACAAUGUAUUAUAGCACCACAAAAAGAUUUGACACAAAAAUCCAAAAAAAAAAUUUUUUGCCGAGGGCUAAGCAUGGCCCUCGGCAAAGAAAUUUGUAAAAAAAAAUAUAAAAAUCCUUUGCCAAGGGCCUGACGUUGGCCCUCGGCAAAGGCUGACGGGGCUCGGCUGCCGUUACUGAACGCACCAAAAUUGCCGAGGGCAAAGAGUUUCUUUGCCGAGGGCGCCUUUGCCGAGGGCUUUUCUUUGCCGAGGGUCUCAGCUGGCGGCCCUCAGCAAAGAAUGUCUUUGCCGAGUGCCCGAGAUUUGGCCCUCGGCAAAGUCUCAGGCCCUCGACAAAGAACGCGUUUCCAAGUAGUGAACAGUCCAAAUUCAUUAGCUUACCAACAUGUUGUUAAUAUAAUGCUUUCCUUCAGUGAUCAAAAACCUGAUGUCGUCCGUGUCACUUCAGUUACGCCAUUCCUGGCCGGCCACCUCUCUUGGCUUCCAGAUCCUCCCUCCGCCUGAGUCGCAGUCGAUGAUCCACGAUCCUCAUUCCGUGGUUUGGCUUGCGUUCUUCCUUCCCCUAAUCCUUUUUCUUCAUUUUCCUUUGGCUGGGAAAAAGCGGAGCGGCCGGCCGGUGUCCUAGCUAGCUUCAGCAGGGCAUGGGCGCCCUGACUGAACCUCAUGCAUGUCCCGCCGCGCGGCGAGCAAUCAAGGAUCCCAGAACCACCGGCUCGGCAAUCGUGACCGAUGCUAUGCUAUCACAGUGAUGCCUGCCCGGCCUUUCCCAUGCUCUCCAAGCAACCGUAGAUUGAUUGUUUGUUUGUUUGGGGAGCGAGGCUGCUGCUAUCGGCACCGAUGCUAUGCUAUCACAGUGGUCCAUGACGUGUGUGCUAGCUACGCGCCAUAAAUCCAACGUGCACUAUGCUUUACGUACACCUAUUCGGUUUUUUUUUUAAUAUCAUCAAGGGAUUACUCCUCACGCGAAUAUAUAUUAUGUAGGUCAAAACGGCUUGAUAUAAAUUUUACAAAAGUUUAGAAACAAACUUAAAAAACACCAGAACAGCCCCAAAGCUAGAAUGAAAAGUAGCACAACCACAAAUACAACCACAAAUACAAAGACGAAAAGCAAAGACUACCACACGCGAGAGACGAGCGCUCUUCGACGAUGCCCCUAGGGACGUGAAUGACGUCAGAACGUAAUCAUCGUCCGCCAAGCAAAAGCUUGGCAAGGCUUUUCGCUUGAGCCUUGUGGCCCAUGAGAAGAAGCGGUAGAGCCGGUCGCCGCCACAUGUCGCGGAGAUGUUCGGACUCGGUGAUGCACGCACCGACACUGACUAGGAGGUCUCUUGGUGACGCGACGUAAGGGGUAGUGAUGCCGGCAACCGCCACAAGGGGGACGGUGGACUGUGACCGAGGUAGAAGAGUGGGCCACCGCUGCACGAGAACGGCAGGUCCGCACCCACCCAACCCGCUCAUGCAGCACCAACAGCACAUGCGCCGUGCUCCUCACCUCAUCGUGGAAAGCCGACUCAUCUCGUUUCCAGAUAGGCCCUCCGUCAUGCGCAGAGGCUGCCACACACCGUCAUGGCUGCCGAGCGCCCGAGGUUGCCGUCGCCCCAACAUCGCCGGAGCCGAAGGAAAUGAACAUGAUGUGAUAGUGGAGGAGGUAGGGUGGUUGCGGAUGGGAACGAUAGAUCCACACAUGGGGGAGUCAGAUCCGCCCACACCCACACCGGAAAAGUACCGCCGGCUAACUCCUCUAUGGCGGUGUGGGACUCCCAAAUCCAGUUCUACGGUCGUUCAGCGUAUUCAUUCCGAGCGAACGAUCCAACAACAAACGAUAGAGCUUAAAUCCCUCCCCUGCGUUGCCAUCAACGCUGAUGUCAAGUUUAAAAAAAGCAAAAUAUUUAUUUUAAAAUAUUAUAACUUCUGAAUAGUGUAUCUAUUUUUUUAUUUUCGUCUGCAUCACUGUGUUCUAUGCGACGAGACGAACAAAACUAGACCCUACUUACAUAUGUUUCGGAGAAAUUUAUUUUAUUAGUAAUUUUAUAGAAUAACAUAUAUAAUUUAUAGGCUAUAACUUAUAACAUAUAACUUAGCAUAUAUUCUACUAAUAUGUUGUGAUACUAAUUUGUAUAUUUAAGUUUCGAAUAUAACUUAUACACCUAACUUUAUAUCUAAGCCAUUCAUCAAGUUGUAUAACUUAUAAGUUUUAAAUAUAACUUAUAUGUCUAACUUUACAUAAGUUGUGUUUCAUAAUUUUGUGUUUCUAGAAUUUGGUUCAUUCAUUUAUCUGUUAAUGACUUUUGUGUUUGUAGUUUUGGCACAAGUUAGUUAAUCCGUUCAUUUGUGUUUAAUAACUUUUUAUAUAUAAAAGGUGUUUUAUAACUCUGAAGAUUUUAAGUUUUUCACAUAAGUUAUAUUUUAUAACUUUCAUGGCAUAAGUUAUAUGAUGUAAGUUAAUAUAAAUAAAUUGGUAGCAGAAAAAAAUAAAUCUUCGAAACAUGUGCAAGUGGGGUCUAGUUUUGUUCGUUUUGUCGCGUAGACGAAAUUAAAAAAGAUACACCGUUCAGUUAUAGUAUUUUGAAAUAAGUAUUUCUCUUUUUCUAUGACGUCAGCCAUCCUUAAAAAGCGCGCAUAAAUGCGGAGGCCCUGUGCGGAAGAAGCGCUGUGCAUGUGCGGUUGACUUUGCUAACCGGUUGCCAAAAAGAGAAAGGAGUGGGAUCUUUUUUUCAAAUAAGGUAUGUCUUGAUCGUUUAAUUUGUUAUGGGUGAACGUUCGUAAUUGAGUGAGGCUGCGUCGGACUACCGCAGAGGCUUCACGAGAGGGAGGGAAGAGAUACGGAGGGCUGAGUCGCCGUCGUCCUUGUCGUCUGUUGGAUUCCCGGCGUCGAGCUCCGGCAGCGGCUGGACCGACAAGGCGCUGGGGAAGGCCCUGCGGCGGCAGUGGAUGGAACUACCCGGUCGUCUUUGAGGGAGCACAUCCGCAGCCACUGCUCGGGCCGAAAUACGGGCUUCAGCCCAGCAGAUCCGGCCUCUCCACAGUCUGGCCAUGGGGGAGGCGGAUCCACUCGCCGGAGCACUGGGAACGGCAACCGAAGGAGCCACGCUGCCAUCGCUGCUAGAGCUUUCAUUAGGUUCCAGCCGGUUGGUAAAACCCGCCGCCGCCUUCCUUGCGGCAGCACGGAUUUCUGGGUGAUCCGCUCGGGCAGCGGUGAGGUAGAUGUGCGGAAGAUUUGUGGGGGCGGCGCGNNNNNNNNNNNNNNNNNNNNNNNNNNNNNNNNNNNNNNNNNNNNNNNNNNNNNNNNNNNNNNNNNNNNNNNNNNNNNNNNNNNNNNNNNNNNNNNNNNNNGGGGGGGGGUGGGGGGGGGUGCGUUGAAGCCUCCUAUUUGGUUUGAGGAAUCUUUAUCCUUCCCUGUCGCGCGCAGCAGCGUCGUCGUCACCGUCUACAGCAGCGUACGCAUGUACGUGGUCGGUGGUUCCUGCUGGUUGCUACAGCGCACCAAGCCGAAUCUUGCACGAUUCCAUCUAAUGGCCAUGAUGAUGAAGAAUAACUGACCUGAGGAAAUUGAUCGACCUGCAAUGGAUUCGUCAGAACCUUUGGUGAAGGUUGGCCAUAAACGAUUUCGAUCGUCAGCUUGACUUUGCAGCAAUAUAACUUUUUUUAUGGUAUAACAGGAGGGGUUACCCCCUAUUGAAUUUUAUACAAAAACACAAACGAAAGGGUUGCCCAAACCACAAGUUCAAGAUAAAAAAAAAGGAAUAACUAGAGCGAACUCCAUCUUGAAUUUCUGCUUGCAAUGCUCCAUCGAAGGCUGAACACAAUUGAAGAUUUGACCAUUGCGAGUACACCAGAUGGACCAACACAAAAGCAUGAUUAUCUCCAUGAAGAAAGGGACAGCUAACUGUCAUUUGAAUGAAACCAAAAUAAACCUCCGGAGGGUACUACACAUCCAGGGGCACCUACAAACCAAUGGAGUGCCGACAAGCAGCAGCAAACUGACAGUAGAGGAACAGAUGGAGCACCGGUUCAUCUCAGUCAAUCUGGCAGAGGACACAAGCAUAUGUGGGCAGAUCCUUGUUCUUACGCCGAAGGGGCUCUCUGUUAUUAAGCUGAUCCUUUAGAAGCAACCAAAAGAUCACUUUUGUGUUUAUUCUGGCAGCAAGAUUUCCACAACCAUCUAAAGACUGGUAUGACAUCACAAUGUACCCAUAAGGUGUUUAUAUGCUUUUGAGGGCAGAAAAAACAUGUCCCCAAAUAUAAACCCAUCGGUUAGCUUCAACAGAGUGAGGCAAAAGUCUCCAAACUAUCAGCCAAAAGUUGGAGUUGGUCGAAAGCAGCAGCGAGGGGCAGGUGAAAGAAAUCGGUUACGGACUGUGCACUCUUAGCCUGCUGCAAUGUGAUGAACUUGUUAGCAAAAGAGAAGAGCUCUGGGAAGAAGUGCUGACAUAUGUGCCCUUGCCAUUGGAGAAACCAGAGAGAAUGACUGUUGAGCCUGAAUUAACAAUCGCUGUGGACUUGCCCUUGAAGGAGUCAAUGAAGCUUAAAUUAGAAUCUCUGUCCACGAAAAUGAUAUCUUUUUCGUGUGAUUUGGAAGCUUGCCAUGAUUAUAGUGUCGUUCCAAAACUAGGUGAACGCGGGAACAUCCAAAUGGUUGAAAAACAUAUGCAAGUGUUUAUCCAGGAGAGCUUCAUUGUGUGUGUGAAGAUCAAGAACCGCAAACCCUCCUUGCCUUGUUUAGAUCUAAAAAGUUUUUGGAUUUUGACAUGUAGCACUUUCGUUUUUAUUUAACAAACAUUGUCUAAUUAUAGAGUAACUAGGCUUAAAAAAUUUAUCUCGUGAUUUACAGGCAAACUGUGCAAUUAGUUUUUAUUUUUAUCUAUACUAGGUAAUGUGCCCGUGCCUUGCUACGGGACAACUAAACUUUUUUAAUAAAGACACACGGAUCACACGAUAAGAUAAUAAUACUGUUAAAUUAAAUAACAAUGUUAAAAUGACAUGUAAUCCAAAAGGCAAAGUUCGUGAAAUUAACACAAUCACAGAAAGCGCGGGCUCACCAGCUCUACUGUAUAGACCUUUCCAUGCAUUGCAAGGAGAAUAAUCUUUAAAUACAUGGAAACGACUAACAUUUAAAAAUAUGCAAUAUAUAUGAAAACUUUUCAUAGAUAUAUUAUAGCCCAUAUCUUUACAUACAUGAAAACAACCAACGUUUUAAGAAAUGUGUAUCUAGAGUAACACACAUUAAAUUGUCAUUACCAAACUUGGUAUUGGUAAAUAGUCAUUCUAAAUCAAUCUAUUAUAUUUUAUCAUUAGUUAUUACAGAUGUGUCAGCUUGUUGCUAUAACCAUCUUCUGGUAAAUCCCAAAACUGUUUUGAGAUAAGAACAAACUUUUACUCGAUCCAAUGCUUCAUGAAACUUUUCACUUUUCCCAUUGUUGACACCGUUUUUGGGCACGUGUCCAGGAUGGCAGGAUAAGAUGACAGUACGUGGUUUACAGGAUGAGUUGCCGAUGAGGAUGGUUGCCGAUAAAGGA